CUUUAUCUUCCGGGAAGGGAAAUCAACCCGGCGAGGCUUCAUGGCGAGGGGAUGAUGGGACUCAGAGGCCCGGGAGGAAACUCAAAUGGUUCGGUGAAGGGAGGCAGCUCAGUUUCCCGCUCUAAGUCCUCUAAAGGUUAACAGAGGCAGGAAGACCCAUAAUUUGGAAGGGGGCGGUGGAUACACUCAGAAGUGCCCCCACGCCUUGUGUUCCUGGGAGAGAAAUCAGCUUGCUCCCAGUGACCCUUGAGGAGGUGACUGUAGGCUUCUCCAAGGAGGAGUGGGCUCUCCUGGAUCCAGGGUAGGGGGCUCUCGGC